CUGCGGUCGACAGAGUUGCGGCCAGGCUGCGGUCGACAGAGUUGCGGCCAGGCUGCGGUCGACAGAGUUGCGGCCAGGCUGCGGUCGACAGAGUUGCGGCCAGGCUGCGGUCGACAGCGUUGCGGCCAGGCUGCGGUCGACAGCGCUGCGGCCAGGCUGCGGUCGACAGCGUUGCGGCCAGGCUGCGGUCGACAGCGUUGCGGCCAGGCUGCGGUCGGCUUCAGAAAAUGUCCUUCCUCUCAUACAUCCAUUCUCACAGCCCACAGUUAAACGUGUAUUACAUAUUUUGACUCUAAAAAGUGUUGUUUCAUUCUGACCUUUUUAAAUAAUUGGGGUGAUAAACUAAAUUGGCUGCUGCUGAAUAAAGAAGUGUAAAUUGUGUCUAUAAUUAAUUAGUUAGAAGAAGGGCUGCAUCACAAACGGCACUUCUUCUUCUCCAUUUACCUGUCAUUAUGUAAACGUGGCAGUGGGCACACAAGAUUUAUCUAUCUUCUUCAGCCUAUUAAUUGUUUCUGUUAUCUGCAGUGUGCAUGUAUGCAUGUAAUAGUGUGUGUGUCCGUGUGUGUGUCUGUGUCUCUGUGUGUAUGUGUGUGCUUGCGUUGCUGUGUGUAACAUUUACCGUUCCAGCUCUGGGUAAUUUCAGCCUGAUAAUUGCUUCUGAUAACAACAAGUGAAACACUUUCUGUUCAUGUUUUUGGUUAUUUUCCCAAACUAACAAGCUAAUCACUGGGGGAGGUGUUUAACACAAACUUUAUUUAAACUUUAUUUAUACUCAUUGAUUUAAAAAAAAGAACGUUGUGCAGAACGUUGUUAUUGCCAGAAGGACCAAAAUAACACGGUUUUUAACCCAACAUUUGUUUCUGAUUUCUCUGAAAAGUAACAAGAGAAUUUGUUGGGUCUGGAUUUAGAUUCUAUCUGUAAGUCCGGUGACAAAGUCAGAAUACCUUGAUCAAUGCACCAGACUGUGGGCCAUCACCGAUCAAUACCAAGUUUCCCUGCAAUGUUGUUGUUGCUUUAAAAAAAAAAAGAAGUUUUACAAGGCUAGUCAGUUAAGAAGAACAAAUUAUUAUUUACAAUGACAGCCUCCCAGGGAACAGUGGGUCAACUGUCUUGUUCAGGGCCAGAAUGAUAGAUUUUUACAUUGUCAGUUCAGGGAUUUGAUCUGGCAACCUUCUGGUUACUGGCCUAACACUCUAACCACUAGGCUACCUGUUUCCAGACAGAAUGAAAACACAAUGUCCUUCCCUAUAAUUCUGACAAUACUCACCAUUAUCCCAGCGGUAAGCCAGAUUGUGUCUCAGGUCCCAAUAGGAAGGAAGGAGUUAUAGAUGCGGUAAAGGGCGUUGAUGGAAUGCAGACCACGGGGGAUAGAAUGAGGACUGGUGCACAUUCAACAAAUCUGAUCUAACUAAAGUGGAUAUUUGUCAAAUCCGUCAUGAUUGAUGUAGUGUAACAGGCACAUAAUGUGGUUAAUAAAGUCUGGAUUUGUGUAAAUAUC
ensembl:lncRNA